AUUGAACGCUGGCGGCAGGCCUAACACAUGCAAGUCGGACGGUAGCACAGAGAGCUUGCUCUUGGGUGACGAGUGGCGGACGGGUGAGUAAUGUCUGGGGAUCUGCCCGAUAGAGGGGGAUAACCACUGGAAACGGUGGCUAAUACCGCAUAACGUCGCAAGACCAAAGAGGGGGACCUUCGGGCCUCUCACUAUCGGAUGAACCCAGAUGGGAUUAGCUAGUAGGCGGGGUAAUGGCCCACCUAGGCGACGAUCCCUAGCUGGUCUGAGAGGAUGACCAGCCACACUGGAACUGAGACACGGUCCAGACUCCUACGGGAGGCAGCAGUGGGGAAUAUUGCACAAUGGGCGCAAGCCUGAUGCAGCCAUGCCGCGUGUAUGAAGAAGGCCUUCGGGUUGUAAAGUACUUUCAGCGGGGAGGAAGGCGGCAAGGUUAAUAACCUUGCCGAUUGACGUUACCCGCAGAAGAAGCACCGGCUAACUCCGUGCCAGCAGCCGCCGUAA
rnacentral:rRNA from 1 species